UACGUAGGUGGCAAGCGUUAUCCGGAUUUAUUGGGCGUAAAGAGAACGCAGGCGGUCUUUUAAGUCUGAUGUGAAAGCCUUCGGCUUAACCGGAGUAGUGCAUUGGAAACUGGGAGACUUGAGUGCAGAAGAGGAGAGUGGAACUCCAUGUGUAGCGGUGAAAUGCGUAGAUAUAUGGAAGAACACCAGUGGCGAAAGCGGCUCUCUGGUCUGUAACUGACGUUGAGGCUCGAAAGCGUGGGGAGCAAACAGG
rnacentral:rRNA from 1 species